CCUACGGGAGGCAGCAGUGGGGAAUAUUGGACAAUGGGCGGAAGCCUGAUCCAGCAACGCCGCGUGAGGGAUGACGGCCUUCGGGUUGUAAACCUCUUUCAGUACCGACGAAGCGCAAGUGACGGUAGGUACAGAAGAAGCACCGGCCAACUACGUGCCAGCAGCCGCGGUAAUACGUAGGGUGCGAGCGUUGUCCGGAAUUAUUGGGCGUAAAGGGCUCGUAGGCGGUUUGUCGCGUCGGGAGUGAAAACGCCGUGCUUAACACGGCGCUUGCUUUCGAUACGGGCAGACUAGAGGUAUGCAGGGGAGAACGGAAUUCCUGGUGUAGCGGUGAAAUGCGCAGAUAUCAGGAGGAACACCGGUGGCGAAGGCGGUUCUCUGGGCAUUACCUGACGCUGAGGAGCGAAAGUGUGGGGAGCGAACAGGAUUAGAUACCCUGGUAGUCCACACCGUAAACGUUGGGCGCUAGGUGUGGGAUCCAUUCCACGGGUUCCGUGCCGCAGCUAACGCAUUAAGCGCCCCGCCUGGGGAGUACGGCCGCAAGGCUAAAACUCAAAGGAAUUGACGG
rnacentral:rRNA from 1 species